AGGCCGCUCCCACAGCAUAG
rnacentral:misc_RNA from 1 species